rnacentral:rRNA from 1 species
UGGCUCAGGAUGAACGCUAGCGGCAGGCUUAAUACAUGCAAGUCGAACGGGAUUUGAAGUAGCAAUACUUUGAUGAGAGUGGCGCACGGGUGCGUAACGCGUAUGCAACCUACCUUUAACAGGGAGAUAGCCCCGAGAAAUCGGGAUUAAUAUUCCAUAACAUUGCGAAUUGGCAUCAAUUUGCAAUUAAAGUUCCGGCGGUUAAAGAUGGGCAUGCGUGACAUUAGCUAGUUGGUGAGGUAACGGCUCACCAAGGCAACGAUGUCUAGGGGUCCUGAGAGGGUUAUCCCCCACACUGGUACUGAGACACGGACCAGACUCCUACGGGAGGCAGCAGUAAGGAAUAUUGGUCAAUGGGCGCAAGCCUGAACCAGCCAUGCCGCGUGCAGGAAGACGGCCCUAUGGGUUGUAAACUGCUUUUGUCAGGGAAUAAACCUGUUUACGAGUAGACAGCUGAAGGUACCUGAAGAAUAAGCAUCGGCUAACUCCGUGCCAGCAGCCGCGGUAAUGAGCCA